rnacentral:rRNA from 1 species
UACGUAGGGGGCAAGCGUUGUCCGGAAUUAUUGGGCGUAAAGAGCUCGUAGGCGGUUUGUCGCGUCUGCUGUGAAAACCCGAGGCUCAACCUCGGGCCUGCAGUGGGUACGGGCAGACUAGAGUGCGGUAGGGGAGAUUGGAAUUCCUGGUGUAGCGGUGGAAUGCGCAGAUAUCAGGAGGAACACCGGUGGCGAAGGCGGGUCUCUGGGCAGUAACUGACGCUGAGGAGCGAAAGCGUGGGGAGCGAACAGG